UACGAAGGGAGCUAGCGUUGUUCGGAAUCACUGGGCGUAAAGCGCACGUAGGCGGAUGUGUCAGUCAGGGGUGAAAUCCCGGAGCUCAACUUCGGAACUGCCUUUGAUACAGCACAUCUGGAGUCCGGAAGAGGUGAGUGGAAUUCCCAGUGUAGAGGUGAAAUUCGUAGAUAUUGGGAAGAACACCAGUGGCGAAGGCGGCUCACUGGCCCGUAACUGACGCUGAGGUGCGAAAGCGUGGGGAGCAAACAGG
rnacentral:rRNA from 1 species